rnacentral:scRNA from 1 species
GUGACUGUUCCUGGUAUCGAUUACACUCCAAAAACAGAAGGUUCCUGCCGACAGGAUCUGUAUAGUUAGAUUUUCAGUGCUAUGGGUUUACAUG